UUCCAGACUCCUACGGGAGGCAGCAGUGGGGAAUAUUGCACAAUGGGGGGAACCCUGAUGCAGCGACGCCGCGUGGGUGAAGGAGCACCUCGGUGCGUAAAGCCCUAUCGGCAGGGAAGAAACAGACGGUACCUGACUAAGAAGCCCCGGCUAACUACGUGCCAGCAGCCGCGGUAAUACGUAGGGGGCAAGCGUUAUCCGGAUUCACUGGGUGUAAAGGGAGCGUAGACGGCGACGCAAGUCUGGAGUGAAAGCCCGGGGCCCAACCCCGGGACUGCUCUGGAAACUGCGGCGCUGGAGUACGGGAGGGGCAGGCGGAAUUCGUGGUGUAGCGGUGAAAUGCAUAGAUAUCACGAAGAACCCCGAUUGCGAAGGCAGCAUACCGGCGCCACACUGACGCUGAGGCACGAAAGCGUGGGUAUCGAACAGGAUUAGAUACCCCGGUAAA
rnacentral:rRNA from 1 species